GACGAACGCUGGCGGCGUGCCUAAUACAUGCAAGUCGAGCGGACUUUCAAGAAGCUUGCUUUUUGAAAGUUAGCGGCGGACGGGUGAGUAACACGUGGGCAACCUGCCUGCAAGACGGGGAUAACUCCGGGAAACCGGGGCUAAUACCGGAUAAUAUCUUCCUUCGCAUGAAGGAAUGUUGAAAGGCGGCGCAAGCUGCCGCUUGCAGAUGGUCCCGCGGCGCAUUAGCUAGUUGGUGAGGUAACGGCUCACCAAGGCGACGAUGCGUAGCCGACCUGAGAGGGUGAUCGGCCACACUGGGACUGAGACACGGCCCAGAAUCCUACGGGAGGCAGCAGUAGGGAAUCUUCCGCAAUGGACGAAAGUCUGACGGAGCAACGCCGCGUGAGCGAAGAAGGUCUUCGGAUCGUAAAGCUCUGUUGUCAGGGAAGAAAAAGUACCGUUCGAACAGGGCGGUACCUUGACGGUACCUGACCAGAAAGCCACGGCUAACUACGUG
rnacentral:rRNA from 1 species